rnacentral:lncRNA from 1 species
UUUUAGGAAAAUGGUCAACAAAGAACAAAGGAAAAAUGUCUUUGUCUUAAAUCAGUUAUUUUUGUGAGCGAGGCGGCAGCGCACAGCCGUGGUUUCCCUUGGUCUAAGGAAAGAUUGCCAUCUAUUGGAUGACCUUGGGAAAGAACGGGGCUUUACUAUGUAUGGGCUCUGUAAUUCAUGGAAAAUCUGACCGAAGUUGAAGACUUUGAGCUUAAAUUGUAUACAUUAUGAUUGUGAAAUGGUAGAAAAGCUGCUGUCUUUUCCAAACUGUUGUUUUGAAUUCUGGAUUGACUGACAUGGCAAAAUAUGAAGGCAAUUGGUGUUUGCUUUCUAAUGAACUAAAUGCUGAAUCCCAAGAACUUGCCAGUCAAGAUGAAAAACUUCUUCUAAUGGAAUCCAGCUUGAAAGCAACUCAAGAGCAGCAAAGUGAGCAAAUAGCAGAAACAGUUCGCCAAGAACAGAACAGUAGAAAAUCACAGACAGAGCUGAAGACCCUGCAAGAACAUAUUGUAGCUUCUGAAGAAGAAAUUAGUGAUUGCAAAGCCCAGAUGAGCACUUUAUACAGGAACUUGGCUGCAAACAGAAGCCUGUUCGUUUGGUGGUGGACUGAACGUUUAAAGCUAAAUGUUUUAUCUCAGAUUUGUGGCAAGCAUCAAAGACUCUCAGCAAAUCUCCUCUGACAGUAAGUUUGAGGCAUCAUGGUGUGCACCAUAUGGACCUACAACUGAACAGAAAUGCUCCCAGCUAUUGCAAUAUGUUCACUUCGUUUACCAUUGUCAAACUUAUGAUUGAAUAAUUCCAAUUUUCUCUGAAAAAUCCGGGAAAAGUGUGGAGAACUUUAAG